AUGAUGCGGAAAUUCGGUGGUGGUAGUUUUAUGAACAAAGGUAUUCAGUGGAUUGAGGUUAGGAUGAAGUGGGUUUAUGGUGUUUGUUGGUUUACAGAGGAGAUCGAGGGAAUGAUGAUGGUGAAAUGGAAGGCGGUUGUUAAUGGGGAUGGUACGGUGGGAGCAUUUGGAAAUGGGUGGUUGUGUAAGGUUGUUGUGAAGGGGAAAACGGAGAGGGUGGAGGUUGUGACUCCGGCGACGGGAAGACAGUGGUGA